ensembl:lncRNA
GCUACGAGCACCCUGAACCGCUUCUCAGCUCUUCAGCAGUCAGGACCUUCAUCCACGUCCUCCUCAUCCUCACUGGACCCUGGGCGCCGAGCUCCUCAAAGUUUGUUCUUUUCUGAUGUACGGGAGCAGCUCGAGUCGAGACUGCAGUGAGCGAGACCGGGACCACUUUAAUCGCUUGGACCGACGGGACGGUCGUGAGGACCAAGACCGAGGGCUGGACAGGACGCGUGUCCCCGUCAUUAAACGCAGCUUCAGCAGGGAGAGUGAGGACCGGUCUCGAGCCGGAGACGUGCGCCGUGUCUCCAGUAUGACGGACGAGAGAGAACGCAGGAGCCGAGACCGGACUGCCAGCCAAGAGACCGCAGUGAAGCGUGAAAUGCUCUGGUGCCGACGCCCGCUCCGAGUAAACCCACCCUGAACGAGGAGGAGCUGGAGAAGAAAUCCACUGCCAUCAUCGAGGAGUACCUGCACAUCAACGACCUGAAGGCUGCAGUGGAGUGUGUACAGGAG